rnacentral:rRNA from 1 species
GGUAUUAGGCAACAACCUUUCCUCCUCGCUGAAAGUGCUUUACAACCCGAAGGCCUUCUUCACACACGCGGCAUGGCUGCAUCAGGGUUUCCCCCAUUGUGCAAUAUUCCCCACUGCUGCCUCCCGUAGGAGUCUGGACCGUGUCUCAGUUCCAGUGUGGCUGAUCAUCCUCUCAGACCAGCUAGGGAUCGUCGCCUUGGUGAGCCAUUACCUCACCAACUAGCUAAUCCCACCUGGGCAUAUCCAAUCGCGCAAGGCCCGAAGGUCCCCUGCUUUCCCCCGUAGGGCGUAUGCGGUAUUAGCAGUCGUUUCCAACUGUUAUCCCCCUCGACUGGGCAAUUUCCCAGGCAUUACUCACCCGUCCGCCGCUCGCCGGCAAAAGUAGCAAGCUACUUUCCCGCUGCCGCUCGACUUGCAUGUGUUAGGCCUGCCGCCAGCGU